AGGAACUUUAGUCUGUUGUCAUUCGGAGAGGAAGCUGAGGGGGAGAUGGUAACUCAAGUCAGCCAGACACUGAAGGGGAAAAGCAAAAGCAGUCAUGACCUGCUGAAGGAUGUUCCACUGCUUAGCUCUGUCCCCACAGUCAACAAGGAGAGGAUGAUGAGGCUGCGGAGGGAGAUGCGGAUGGUGAUGAAAAGGAGUAUGACUCUGAGAGGCAGGAAAUGAGGGAGAGGAUCUCUAAGAAGAUGGAGGAGAAGAAGAGUACAGACCCCAGUGAGGAGAACAGAGGGAAGAGGACCAACUGCAGGUUGAUUACACAAAAAUGAUAUACCAUCCACAGCAUAGCCUAAAUGCCUUUUACACACCUAUUUUUAAUUUGAGGAAUGUUUUCUCACAUGUUACGCUAUAAUAGCAUUGUUUACGUUGCUUGUUCAUCAGUGUUCAGAGUUUAUGCCACUUUUUAUUAAAGGCCCAAUGCAGCUGU